rnacentral:rRNA from 1 species
UUUCCGCUUCGGACCAUGCCUAAGUCCCUUGGAAAAGGGCAUCAUAGAGGGUGAUAAUCCCGUACAUGGCAUGGAGCGCCCGUAGCUUUGUGAUACGCUUUCUAAGAGUCGAGUUGUUUGGGAAUGCAUCUCAAAAUGGGUGGUAAAUGCCAUCUAAGGCUAAAUAUUGGGGAGAGACCGAUAGCGAACAAGUACAGUGAUGGAAAGAUGAAAAGAACUUUGAAAAGAGAGUUAAACAGUACGUGAAAUUGCCAAAAGGGAAGGGUAGGAGGUCAGAGAUGCGUCUUGGGAUUCAGCCUUGCUUUUGCAUGGUGUUUUUCCCAAGUUGCAGGCCAACGUCGGUUUUGGGCACUGGAGAAGGGUAGGAGGAACGUGGCACCUCUCGGGGUGUGUUAUAGCCUCCUACUGGAUACAGCGACCGAGACCGAGGAACGCAGCGUACUCGUAAGAGCGGGCCUUUUGGCACCUUUACGCUUAGGGCGUUGGCAUAAUGGCCCUCUACCACC